rnacentral:rRNA from 1 species
CAAAAACAAGUCUUUUUGAUUAUAAUUUAAAGUCUAACCUGCCCAAUGAGGAGUUAAAUGGCCGCGGUAUUUUGACCGUGCAAAGGUAGCAUAAUCAUUAGUUUUUUAAUUGAAAGCUGGUAUGAAUGGUUGGACGAGAAAAUAACUGUCUCGAUUUAAAUUAAAUUAGAAUUUUAUUUAUGAGUAAAAAAGCUCAUAUGAGUUUAAAAGACGAGAAGACCCUAUAGAAUUUAAUAUAUAUAUAUAUACAUUAUUUUUAGAAUUAAUAAUAAGUUAUAUAUAAUUAUAUUUUGUUGGGGUGAUAGAAAAAUUAAAUUAACUUUUUUUAUAUAAAAACAUUAAUGUAUGAAAAAGUGAUCCGUUAAUUACGAUUAUAAGAUUAAAUUACCUUAGGGAUAACAGCGUAAUUUUUUUUUAGAGUUCUUAUCGAAAAAAGAGUUUGCGACCUCGAUGUUGGAUUAAAAUUAACUUUUGGUGUAGGGGCU